GACGAACGCUGGCGGCGUGCUUAACACAUGCAAGUCGAGCGGAAAGGCCCUUCGGGGUACUCGAGCGGCGAACGGGUGAGUAACACGUGAGUAACCUGCCCCAGACUUUGGGAUAACCCUCGGAAACGGGGGCUAAUACCGGAUACGACACAGCUUCGCAUGGGGUCUGUGUGGAAAGUUUUUCGGUUUGGGAUGGGCUCGCGGCCUAUCAGCUUGUUGGUGGGGUGAUGGCCUACCAAGGCGACGACGGGUAGCCGGCCUGAGAGGGCGACCGGCCACACUGGGACUGAGACACGGCCCAGACUCCUACGGGAGGCAGCAGUGGGGAAUAUUGCACAAUGGGCGGAAGCCUGAUGCAGCGACGCCGCGUGGGGGAUGACGGCCUUCGGGUUGUAAUCCUCUUUCAGCAGGGACGAAGCGUAAGUGACGGUACCUGCAGAAGAAGCGCCGGCCAACUACGUG
rnacentral:rRNA from 1 species